rnacentral:misc_RNA from 1 species
GAUGAAGAACGCAGCGAAAUGCGAUAAGUAAUGUGAAUUGCAGAAUUCAGUGAAUCAUCGAAUCUUUGAACGCACAUUGCGCCCCUUGGUAUUCCGAGGGGCAUGCCUGCUCGAGCGUCAUUAUAACCCCUCAAGCUCAGCUUGGUGUUGGGGCCUGCUGCACUGGCAGCCCUUAAAAUCAGUGGCGGCGCCAUCUGGCUCUAAGCGUAGUAAUUCUUCUCGCUAUGGAGUCCUGGUGGAUGCUUGCCAUCAACCCCCAAUUUUUCUAUGGUUGACCUCGGAUCAGGUAGGGUUACCCGCUGAACUUUAGCAUAUCAAUAAGCGGAGGA